GACGAACGCUGGCGGCGUGCUUAACACAUGCAAGUCGAACGAAGAGCGACGGAAGCUUGCUUCUAUCAAUCUUAGUGGCGAACGGGUGAGUAACGCGUAAUCAACCUGCCCUUCAGAGGGGGACAACAGUUGGAAACGACUGCUAAUACCGCAUACGAUCUAACCUCGGCAUCGAGGAUAGAUGAAAGGUGGCCUCUACAUGUAAGCUAUCACUGAAGGAGGGGAUUGCGUCUGAUUAGCUAGUUGGAGGGGUAACGGCCCACCAAGGCGAUGAUCAGUAGCCGGACUGAGAGGAUGAACGGCCACAUUGGGACUGAGACACGGCCCAGACUCCUACGGGAGGCAGCAGUGGGGAAUCUUCCGCAAUGGACGAAAGUCUGACGGAGCAACGCCGCGUGAGUGAUGACGGCCUUCGGGUUGUAAAGCUCUGUUAAUCGGGACGAAAGGCCUUCUUGCGAAUAGUGAGAAGGAUUGACGGUACCGGAAUAGAAAGCCACGGCUAACUACGUG
rnacentral:rRNA from 1 species